UACGGGGGGGGCAAGCGUUGUUCGGAAUUACUGGGCGUAAAGCGCAUGUAGGCGGCCCGGCAAGUCGGAUGUGAAAGCCCUGGGCUUAACCUAGGAAGUGCAUUCGAAACUCCCGGGCUUGAGUUCUGGAGAGGGAAGCGGAAUUCUCGGUGUAGAGGUGAAAUUCGUAGAUAUCAGGAGGAACACCAGUGGCGAAGGCGGCUAUCUGGACGGUUUCUGACGCUAAGACGCGAAAGCGUGGGGAGCAAACAGG
rnacentral:rRNA from 1 species